rnacentral:tRNA from 1 species
GUUAUUUUGGCAGAUUAGUGCAAUAGAUUUAGAAUCUUUAUAUAUAAUUUAUAUUAUAGGUAAUACUUGUUUUU